rnacentral:rRNA from 1 species
AUUGAACGCUGGCGGCAGGCCUAACACAUGCAAGUCGAGCGGCAGCGGGAAAGUAGCUUGCUACUUUUGCCGGCGAGCGGCGGACGGGUGAGUAAUGCCUGGGAAAUUGCCCAGUCGAGGGGGAUAACAGUUGGAAACGACUGCUAAUACCGCAUACGCCCUACGGGGGAAAGCAGGGGACCUUCGGGCCUUGCGCGAUUGGAUAUGCCCAGGUGGGAUUAGCUAGUUGGUGAGGUAAUGGCUCACCAAGGCGACGAUCCCUAGCUGGUCGGGGAGGCUGAUCAGCCACACUGGAACUGAGACACGGUCCAGACUCCUACGGGAGGCAGCAGUGGGGAAUAUUGCACAAUGGGGGAAACCCUGAUGCAGCCAUGCCGCGUGUGUGAAGAAGGCCUUCGGGUUGUAAAGCACUUUCAGCGAGGAGGAAAGGUUGAUGCCUAAUACGUAUCAACUGUGACGUUACUCGCAGAAGAAGCACCGGCUAACUCCGUGCCAGCCGCCGCGGUAAUAC